GGCCACCUCUAUGAGCUCCCACACACAUACUACUGUAUAUGUGUGUGGGAGCUCAUUGAGGUGGCC